UUGGGCGUCAGCGGACUUGGCAGCGGGGACGUUGGCGGCAGCGGCCCCUCAGAGCCUGGACCCUGGUGAGGGCGCCGACCCCGGUCGUGUGUGGCAGGCGACAGUCGCGGGCGCUGAGCAGGGACCAGACUCCGCUCGCGCUCCUCGUCCUGAACGCGCUGACUGACUGGAAGGUGUCGCCGCCCCGCGUGCCCCCUGAGGAGGAUGUGCAGUGUCUGUGGCCCAGGCAGGGCUGACUCAGCCGCCCUCAGUGACCAAGUCCCCAGGACAGACGGCCACACUCACCUGCACUGGAAAGAGCAAAAAUGUCGGCCAUGAGGGGGCAGCGUGGCUGCAGCAGCAACCCCAAGGCCGUGUCCCCACACUCCUGACCAGCAGGAAUAACAUCUGGGCCUCUGGGGUCUCCGAGAGAUUCUCUGGCUCCAGGGAGUCUUGAACAAGGUGGGGCUGACAGACCAUUACGAGCCCCAAUGCACUUCCAAGGAGGAAGUGGGCUCCUGGGAAGACUGUGCAGAAGACAAGACACAGCUUGUGGGCGGAGUCCGCACAGUGGACCCUCAGGAGACAGAGCUCAGUGGCGCCUCAACCAAACCCGGAAGUCUUGUUCUUCCAGCUUCUGGAUCCUGGGCCCAGUCUGUGCUGACUCAGCAGGCCUCAGUGUCUGGGAAUCUGGGCCAGAGGGUCACCAUCUCCUGCACUGGAAGCAGCUCCGACAUCAGUGAUUAU
rnacentral:lncRNA from 1 species